AAAAAUAUUAAGAUGAAUAAAAGAAGAAAUUAAAAAUAAGUGUUCAUCUUCUUCUUCUUGCAAAAAUCGAAACCAAAGGAAAGAAAAAGAGAAAGUUCACUAAAGUAAUUCGGCACCCUCUUUUGCUACUUGGGGUUGGAGCUCAAGAUCAAAGGGAGCCAAGUUUGGCCAAAGUAAAAGCGAAAGCGGUUGAGUAGCUGAUCGGAGUUAUUCAUCCGACUAAAAGAUCAUCUUGUCGAGGAAAGCUUGGAAACCGUUAUGAAGUCAUCAUAUCUUUUGACUACCUUUUUGGUAUCUUUGUUUAAAACUCUAGUAGACAUUAUGGCAUGUAUAGAAUGAUAUUUUGGGAGGUUGCUAUUUUGAUAGUAUUGUAUAUAAAGCCAUGCGAAUAUGGCUAAAGUUCUAUGUAUGGAUUUGAUAAUGGUUUAGAUAUAAAUCUUGAAAUGAAAUCAACUUGACUUAUAA